UACGUAGGGUGCAAGCGUUGUCCGGAAUUAUUGGGCGUAAAGAGCUCGUAGGCGGCUUGUCGCGUCGUCCGUGAAAACCUGCAGCUCAACUGCAGGCUUGCGGGCGAUACGGGCAGGCUAGAGUUCGGUAGGGGAGACUGGAAUUCCUGGUGUAGCGGUGAAAUGCGCAGAUAUCAGGAGGAACACCGGUGGCGAAGGCGGGUCUCUGGGGCCGAUACUGACGCUGAGGAGCGAAAGCGUGGGGAGCGAACAGG
rnacentral:rRNA from 1 species